CAGUGACUAUGACAAGUUUCAAGAAAAAAAAUAUAUAUUUUAGUUAAAAUGUUAUUCCAACACUGAUGGUAGAAUACAUCAAAUCCUGAAAUUGUUAGGGUGUUAAUUAGGAUGUUUACGUUUUCUUUGUAAUUUUAAAGGUCCUUUCCUCUUUUUCAGGAAAACCGUAAGAGGAGAAUACACAGACAUAAAACAGUGUCGACAAGACCUUUUCAAGGACCAGAAGUCUAUGGUGAGUUUACCCCACUCCUUGACAUUAAGAAAUUCAGUUAAUGUUGUGUGGGAUAACUUAGUUUUAUGCAUAGUUGGUUCUAGAUCACUUUUAAAAGUACUGUAGAUUAUCUUAGAGGUUUUAAAGAUAGUCACUACAUAGCUUCCUUUAUCCAGCGAUACUGUCCACCCCUGGUUAAGUACUGAUUACAGUCAGAAUAACAGGGCAUGAAA
rnacentral:lncRNA from 8 species